AGGACUGCUGCCCAGAAAGAAAGGUCUGGGGUCUUAUGCAUCUGCGGUCUAGUGAGGCGCUUCUGUCCCAAUUGUAGAGAACUACAGCAUAACUUCAGAACAGCAGAUCAUCAGACAUCUCCAUCGUUGCCCUCCGUUGCUCCCCUGGAGAACAUAUGGGUCACCUCCUUGGAUCCCCCACCAGCCUACAGUCAGGUGGUUCUGAAGCCAACUCCCACAGAACCACCUCCUCCCUACAGCCUCAGGCCUGAGGGCACUUCUGGACAGAGGAGAGGGCAUGCCUACGCAACCCUUUGAGCUUCCUUACACACAAACCUCUUGGAUCAAGCCCAGGACCCUGGACUGACUGCCUAUCCCAUCAUGCCUUUAAUUUAU
rnacentral:lncRNA from 1 species